GUAAAAUUAGUUUAAAUUAAAAUGGUAAAUUGUGGUUUUACAGAUAUAUAUUAAUAUGUGCAUAUAUUUUACU
rnacentral:tRNA from 1 species